AAUAGUUUGAAACAGAAGAAUUUCAAACCAUUGAUACGACAAAUUAGUUAAAUUAAUAUUUUAAGGUAUUGUACCUAUACACAUAUUUUUGAGUUUCAAAUAGAUGCUUGAUUUGAGCUUAUAAAAUUAAUUAAAUUAAGCAAAUUUUGUGAUAAACGUAAAAUAAAACUGGAGUCUCCUACAAACUACUUCUGUGUAGAAGAUGACUAUUCCAUCAGCUCAAACUCAACUUUUGGCAGGAAAAUUACACGAUUUGUUGGAAUGUGCUGAGGACCUUUCUAAACUGAAUAAAAGUAAUAUGGAAAAAGACACGGAUCUGGCCAAAAUGAGAACUAAUUCUAACAAUGUACAAAACCGCUUGCAUGUUAUAAAUAACGAUGUACAGACACUUGAAAAGGAAAAUAUUCGGUUGAAUGAAGAGAUACAGUCCUAUUUAGAUAGACAUAACUACGAAGAACUCAGGUCUAUAAUGAUGAAUGAUUCCGUAAAUAAGAAGCUAGAGGCUUUCCGCAUCGAAAUUACCACCAUCGCUGAGGUGCUGGGGCUAGGUUUGGAUCGAAUCAGUCUGAGUGAGAAUGAUUUGAUGAUUACUUUUCCGGAUUCACAACACACAACGCUAGUUUUCGAGGAAAACCAAAGGCAACUCAAACUUGUAUCCAUCAGUCCCUCGCAUCCAAACUUGGCAAUUAUACAACAACAUCUGCAGAGAACGGGAGACUUUGUGGGU